rnacentral:rRNA from 1 species
GAUGAACGCUGGCGGCGUGCUUAACACAUGCAAGUCGAACGAUGAAGCCCAGCUUGCUGGGUGGAUUAGUGGCGAACGGGUGAGUAACACGUGAGUAACCUGCCCUUAACUCUGGGAUAAGCCUGGGAAACUGGGUCUAAUACCGGAUAGGAGCGCCUACCGCAUGGUGGGUGUUGGAAAGAUUUAUCGGUUUUGGAUGGACUCGCGGCCUAUCAGCUUGUUGGUGAGGUAAUGGCUCACCAAGGCGACGACGGGUAGCCGGCCUGAGAGGGUGACCGGCCACACUGGGACUGAGACACGGCCCAGACUCCUACGGGAGGCAGCAGUGGGGAAUGUUGCACAAUGGGCGCAAGCCUGAUACAGCGACGCCGCGUGAGGGAUGACGGCCUUCGGGUUGUAAACCUCUUUCAGUAGGGAAGAAGCGAAAGUGACGGUACCUGCAGAAGAAGCACCGGCUAACUACGUGCCAGCCGCCGCGGUAACAC